UUACUCUGUGGUCACGUUGGAGACCACGGGGUCCUGAUGAUAAAUGGCUUAUUGACACAAUAUCUACCACCUGAGCCUGCCACCCCAAAAGGCACCAGGCUGGCACCCGACUUGUAGUUUAACAUGCUAAAUCAGAUGGGGAGCCCAGGUGCCCCACAGACUACACCCUCUGAGAAAUGCAUACAUUUGACCCAGAUUUGAGUAUGAGCACAGUUAAAGAAGAAUCUGACACAGUGACAGUAGAAACCGUGAAUUCUGUGACUUUGACCCAAGACACUGAAGGAAACCUUAUUCUUCACUGCCCUCAGGAUGAGGCAGAUGAAGUAGACUCCGAAGACAGUGUCGAACCUCCACAUAAAAGGCUUUGCUUAUCAUCUGAAGAUGACCAGAGUCUUGAUGACACGACUCCAUGCAUUUCUGUUGUUGCCGUUCCAAUUUCAGAAAGUGACCAGAGCUUUGAGGUGACUAUGACAGCUACCACUGAGGUAGCUGACAAUGAGGUCAACGAAGGGACUGUGACUCAGAUCCAGAUUCUCCAGAAUGAACAACUGGAUGAAAUCUCUUCUCUAGGCAAUGAAGAAGUGUCGGCAGUUAGUCAGGCCUGGUUUACAACCAAAGAGGAUAAGGAUUCAUUAACAAACAAAGGUCAUAAAUGGAAGCAGGGAAUGUGGUCGAAAGAAGAAAUAGACAUUCUGAUGAGCAACAUAGAACGCUAUUUAAAGGCACGUGGAAUAAAAGAUGCCACUGAAAUCAUCUUUGAGAUGUCAAAGGAUGAAAGGAAAGAUUUCUACAGGACCAUUGCAUGGGGUCUGAACCGGCCUCUCUUUGCUGUUUAUAGACGAGUACUUCGCAUGUAUGAUGAUCGAAACCACGUUGGCAAGUACACUCCUGAUGAAAUUGAAAAGCUCAAGGAGCUACGGAUAAAGCACGGCAAUGACUGGGCAACUAUUGGAGCUGCCCUCGGAAGAAGUGCUUCUUCAGUAAAAGACCGAUGCAGGCUGAUGAAGGACACCUGCAAUACAGGGAAGUGGACAGAAGAAGAAGAAAAGAGACUGGCAGAAGUGGUACAUGAAUUAACCAGCACAGAGCCUGGGGACAUUGUCACGCAAGGAGUGUCUUGGGCUGCUGUGGCAGAGCGAGUCGGGACGCGGUCUGAGAAGCAGUGCCGUUCCAAAUGGCUCAACUACCUAAACUGGAAACAAAGUGGAGGCACCGAGUGGACUAAAGAAGAUGAAAUAAACCUAAUCCUGAGAAUAGCAGAGCUAGAAGUAUCUGAUGAAAAUGAUAUCAACUGGGAUCUGCUGGCCGAAGGAUGGAGCAGUGUGCGCUCACCCCAGUGGCUUCGUAGUAAAUGGUGGACGAUCAAAAGGCAGAUCGCAAACCACAAAGAGGUUUCGUUUCCUGUUCUUAUAAAAGGUCUGAAACAGCUUCACGAAAGCCAGACGAACGCUGCAGGGCACCAGCUUUCAGAGACGAAACCUCUUCCUGGGUUGCCAAAUGCUCAUUCUGGUUCUGGGGUUCAGCACGUGCAGAUUCGGGUGGCUCGCUUGGAUGAGAAUUCAGGCAAUUCUCCAAGCCCCAUGGCAGCUUUGCAGAUUCCAGUUCAGAUUACCCAUGUCUCUUCUGCAGAUUCCCCUGCUGCUUCUGUUGACUCUGAGACGAUAACUCUAAAUAGUGGGACAGUGCAGACCUUUGAGAUCCUGCCAUCUUUCCAUCUGCAGCCCACGGGGACUCCAGGCACGUACUUACUCCAAACAAGCUCCACCCAAGGCUUGCCUUUGACACUGACCACCAGCCCAACAGUGACCCUCACAGCUGCCACGGCACCAGCCUCACCAGACCAGAUCAUCGUCCACGCCUUAUCUCCAGAACACUUGCUGAACACCGGUGACAAUGUCACAGUACAGUGCCAUGCACCAAGUGUCAUAAUCCGCACUGUUGCAGCAGAAGAGAUUUCUCCCUCCGUAACCCAGGCAGAACUUGCUGUUGAUUCAGACAUUCAGCCAGUUAAUCUGGUGGACCCUCCAACGGCUCUGGAAGCAGACGCCUUUCCAGAGGACAUCCAUCAACCCAAGCUGGCUGUGGAGGAGCAGUCUGCAUAUGGCGAAGACGGCGACUCCAAAUUUGGUGGCAGGAGUAGCAGUGAACUCAUUGACAGGGUCAUGGCGAGAGCCGGGGGAGAGAUUUUGCACACGGAUAUCAAGUGUGAAGAGGAUUGUCGGUCUGACUUAGCUGGCACCUACGUUUCUGAGGAUCUCAGUUCUCCAACGACAGAAGAACAAGUUGAGGCGUCUCCCAUGGAUGACACCGUCCUCAUUGUACCUUCGCCUCAUGGCUUUAUCCAGACAUCAGAUGACAUAGACAGCGAAUCCGUUUUGCCCCUAACAACACUAACAGAUCCUAUAUUGCAACACCAUGGAGAGAACUCCCAUAUCAUUGGCUCCUCUUUGGAUAGUCCUGGUUCUGAAGACUCCAAGGAUGUUGAAGAUUUAGUGAGCUGCCACUGAGCACAACCCACAGUGCUGCAAAAAAUAAAAAGAACUGAGUGCUGAACCACCGUUUCCAAAGAAAGAAAAGCAUUUGCUGAAACAGCUUCAGCCCACCUUUCUGGGCAAAGAAGAGGUUUAAAGAAGUUGUGGCCGCAGCUGAUCAAAGGUUUUUUGCUUCUUAGGUUGUUCCUCUUGAGACUGGAACCAGAUUCUGGUAAGAAGAGAGUUGGAUGCUCUAGGUUAAUAGUGCAGUAACAAGCAAGUCUUGCAAGCAAAGAUAGCAGCUCUUGAGCAUCAAGAGGACAAAAUAGUCCUUUACUGAAGGAAACAAGG